ACAGAAGUUUUAUUAGCUUAGU
rnacentral:snRNA from 1 species